AGCAAACUAGCACCAUAAUGUGCCUCUACUUUCAUAUGGGUGAAAAGGACACAGACCAUAUGGUCCUCUGCUUUCAUAUGGACAAAAAUAGGUCACCCAACAAAAAAUCAUCAAUAGUUUAGCAAGUCUGUACCCUCAAGAAUGAACAUAUAGAAAUAUCUGUUGUCCCCCCAUAACAUACGGAAAUCAAAAUCAGCUCAACUUAGAUGACUAGCUAACUCAUUUUUCAGAUAGCAUAUGUAAAGGGGCCAACUCAAAAUUGUGAGCCUAGCUAACUCAAUUUUCAGAUAUAAGCUUGCUUGUUUUCCAUUGUACGUGAAGAACUAGCUCCUGUUGCUCCUCUGCCCGUGCUGCUGAUGCUCCUCUUCCGCUGAUCCAAGUGACUGUGUUGUGCUGCUGCUGAUUAGAACAAUUUUGCUCCUCUGCACUCUGAAGAAGGUAACUCCGUCAGAGUACUGUACCUGAAAAUUAAUGAAGUUGAUUUAGUGUUCAAAUUAGGCAUGCGUUAAGUAUGACCUUUUGACAGUGCUAACCUGCAGUAAAUCAUCGGCCAUCAAAAGCAUACACAGAAAACAUCAAGCUAGCACAACACACAAACUACAUACAUGAAACAGGAAGCAAACAAUAAAUGACUGAACCUGGGUAAAUCUAAAGGGAAAGAGCAAAUGAGCAAAAAAACAACGCAUAUUUGUAACUUUCUAUAUACAUCAAUAGCCUAAUCCAUAAGAAAGCUGCACCAAAAAAAUACCCAAAAGAUGGCCGGUCCUACCGAAAAUCUGCAAAGUCAACAAGAAGAGUAAGUUUGGUCACAUUAAUAAGAUGAUCAGCUAAUAAAAAAAUGUUAGACGGGUCACAUCAAGACGGGAUUUGCAAAAGAAUCCAUUGUCGUUUUCAGCCACCUACUCAGGGCAGUCUGCGCCGAGAAGAAGACCAGCUACGCAAUGGACAUCGUACUCCGGGUAAUGCCUGCGUUUGAUUGCGUACCCGACAUUUUCUCUUACACCAUUCUUUUCAAGGGUCUCUGCAGCGAGAAGAGAAGCCAAGAGGCCCUCGAGCUGAUUCACAUGAUGGUUGAGCAUGGAGGUAGCUGCCGACCUGAUGUCGUGUCCUAUAGCACUGUAAUUGAUGGCCUAUUGAAAGACGGUUUGGUGGACAAGGCUUACAGCCUAUAUUGUGAAAUGCUACAGACGGGAAUUUUGCCGAAUGCUGUGACCUAUAACUCAAUCAUUUCUGCCAUGUGCAAGGUUCAUGCGAUGGACAAGGCUAAGGAGGCUGUUCACCAGAUGUCUGAUAGAGGAAUUCUGCCAGAUGUUGCCACAUAUACUAGUCCGAUACAUGGAUACUAUUCAUUAGGAAGGUGCAAAGAGGUUGAUCGUAUUUUCACAGAAAUGUCUAGAAAUGGUGUUCAACCAAAUAUUGUAACUUACAAUAUACAGAUGGAUUAUCUUUGCAAGAACGGAAGAUGCGCAGAAGCUAGGAAGAUUUUUGAUUCUAUGGUCUGUUUGGGCCAAAAGCCAACCGUUACUACCUACGGCAUUCUGCUUCAUGGGUAUGCCAUGGAACGGUCUUUUCAUGAUAUGCAUUGCCUCAUCGAUUUGAUGACAGAAAAUGGUAUUUCACCAGGUCAUUAUGCCUACAACAUACUCAUAUCUGCAGCAGCUAAAGAAGAAAUGGUUGGUGACGUAUUGCAUAUAUUUACAAAAAUGCGGCGGCAAGGACUGAACCCUGACGUUGUGACCUAUGGAGCGGUAAUAAACCUGCUUUCCGGUAUUGGCCGAAUGGAUGAUGCUAUGUCCUAAUUCAAUCAAAUGACAACAGAAGGAUUAGCUCCUGGUAUCAUAGUUUUCAACACCCUUAUUAGUGGUUUUUGUGCUUGUGGCAAAUGGGACAAGGUUCAUGAACUAUUUUCUGAAAUGUUGGAUCGUGGCAUCUAUCCUAAUACUGUGUUUUUCACCACAAUUAUGGACCGCCUUUGCAAAAAUGGAAGGGUUAUGGAAGCCCAAGAUAUCUUUGACCUGAUGGUACACAUGGGUGUUAAGCCUAAUGACACAUUGAUGCAUGGAUACUUUUCAGAUGGUAAGAUGGAUGAAGCGAGCAUGUUACUUGAGAAUAUGGUCUCAAUUGGCAUGGAACCAAAUGAUCAAAAAAUAAGACAUUCACGUGGCUAAAUGGAUCUAGGACAAUAGGUCAGUUGACAUUGUACUUUUACUACUAAUAUAUCCCUAAAGAUUUAAAAGCACAUCAUCCAUACAUGCCAACAACUCAACCUGAAGUCUGACCUGAUCUGCAUGUUCUGAAUGCGUUUGUGGCUUUGUUCCAAUGCAAAUCAUUAGCAAUUUAGCAUGUUCUUAUAGUGAGACGGGUAGCCAAAAACAAUGAUUCCAAAGCACACAGAAAAUCACUUCUCCAUCAAUGAAACCAUCCAUCGGUUACAUGAGGUCACUGCCUAAUUCCUUAUCAUUACUACUUCCGUGGAGCUGUUCAGUGUAGAUGCGAUGUUCGAAACCCUAAAGUUUGCUUGGGGGAGCUGCGUGUACUAACCUCUAUGACGAACGGCCUGACAGAAGCGUGCUCGUUUGCUGACACCGACUCCUGCUCCUCGCCGCUCGGGCCUCGGGCUGGGGGGAAACACGCAGCCGUGGGGAAAUCACACCGCUGUCAGCAUUCGGCAACCGGUUCCCAUCAACGAAACAAUGCGUCGCAUAUUCUCACCUGCUUCGUCCGCCGUCCGCGUCGACGGAGAGGCUGGCCGGAGGCGACGCGC
rnacentral:lncRNA from 1 species